UACGUAGGGCGCAAGCGUUAUCCGGAAUUAUUGGGCGUAAAGAGCUCGUAGGUGGUUUGUCGCGUUGUUCGUGAAAACUCACAGCUUAACUGUGGGCGUGCGGGCGAUACGGGCAGACUUGAGUACUGCAGGGGAGACUGGAAUUCCUGGUGUAGCGGUGGAAUGCGCAGAUAUCAGGAGGAACACCGGUGGCGAAGGCGGCCUGCUGGGCAGUGGCUGACGCUGAGGCGCGACAGCGUGGGGAGGCAAACAGG
rnacentral:rRNA from 1 species